rnacentral:rRNA from 1 species
UACGUAGGGUGCAAGCGUUUGUCCGGAAUUAUUGGGCGUAAAGAGCUUGUAGGCGGUUUGUCGCGUCUGCUGUGAAAUUUCGGGGCCCAACCCCGAACUUGCAGUGGGUACGGGCAGACUAGAGUGUGGUAGGGGAGACUGGAAUUCCUGGUGUAGCGGUGAAAUGCGCAGAUAUCAGGAGGAACACCGAUGGCGAAGGCAGGUCUCUGGGCCACUACUGACGCUGAGAAGCGAAAGCAUGGGGAGCGAACAGG